CAUUGAAAAUACAAAAAUACAGCGUGUUUUUCCUCAAUGAGACCUUUAUUACAAGAAGAUCCAUUUGUGGCAGUUAAACUGGACGAACCUGCAGCUGCAAGUCAGCGUUCUUAAACAGAGACCCUUGUUUGUUACAAAACAAUUUAAAAAUGCAUCAUGUUAAACAAUAAC